rnacentral:rRNA from 1 species
GACGAACGCUGGCGGCGUGCUUAACACAUGCAAGUCGAACGGAAAGGCCCUGCUUUUGUGGGGUGCCCGAGUGGCGAACGGGUGAGUAACACGUGAGUAACCUGCCCUUGACUUUGGGGUAACUUCAGGAAACUGGGGCUAAUACCGGAUAGGAGCUCCUGCUGCAUGGUGGGGGUUGGAAAGUUUCGGCGGUUGGGGAUGGACUCGCGGCUUAUCAGCUUGUUGGUGGGGUAGUGGCUUACCAAGGCUUUGACGGGUAGCCGGCCUGAGAGGGUGACCGGCCACAUUGGGACUGAGAUACGGCCCAGACUCCUACGGGAGGCAGCAGUGGGGAAUAUUGCACAAUGGGCGGAAGCCUGAUGCAGCAACGCCGCGUGCGGGAUGACGGCCUUCGGGUUGUAAACCGCUUUCGCCUGUGACGAAGCGUGAGUGACGGUAAUGGGUAAAGAAGCACCGGCUAACUACGUG